CCUACGGGAGGCAGCAGUGGGGAAUUUUGGACAAUGGGGGCAACCCUGAUCCAGCCAUUCCGCGUGAGUGAAGAAGGCCUUCGGGUUGUAAAGCUCUUUCGCAAGGGAAGAAAACUUAUGAUCGAAUAAAUCAUGAGGUUGACGGUACCUUGAUAAGAAGCACCGGCUAACUACGUGCCAGCAGCCGCGGUAAUACGUAGGGUGCGAGCGUUAAUCGGAAUUACUGGGCGUAAAGCGUGCGCAGGUCGGUUUUGUAAGUCGGAUGUGAAAUCCCCGGGCUCAACCUGGGAACUGCGUUCGAAACUGCAAGGCUAGAGUGUGUCAGAGGGGGGUAGAAUUCCACGUGUAGCAGUGAAAUGCGUAGAGAUGUGGAGGAAUACCAAUGGCGAAGGCAGCCCCCUGGGAUAACACUGACGCUCAUGCACGAAAGCGUGGGGAGCAAACAGGAUUAGAUACCCUGGUAGUCCACGCCCUAAACGAUGUACAACUAGUUGUUAGGUAGAGUAAACUNUAUGAGUAACGUAGACUAACGCGUAGAAGUUCGACCGCCGUGGGUAGGUACGGUCGCGAAGAAGUUAAAACGUUAAAAGUUAAGUAAGUUAGUACGGACGUAGAGACGUAGACCGACGGACGACGACGAGGGAGGAGG
rnacentral:rRNA from 1 species